GACAGAGGGUGCAAACGUUGUUCGGAAUUACUGGGCGUAAAGCGCGUGUAGGCGGCCAACUAAGUCGGGCGUGAAAUCCCACGGCUCAACCGUGGAAAGUGCACUCGAAACUGGAUGGCUAGAGUCCUGGAGAGGAAGGUGGAAUGCUUGGUGUAGAGGUGAAAUUCGUAGAUAUCAAGCGGAACACCGGUGGCGAAGGCGGCCUUCUGGACAGUGACUGACGCUGAGACGCGAAAAGCGUGGGGAGCAAACAGG
rnacentral:rRNA from 1 species